AACGAACGCUGGCGGCAGGCCUAACACAUGCAAGUCGAGCGCGCCUUCGGGUGAGCGGCGGACGGGUUAGUAACGCGUGGGAACGUACCCUUCUCUACGGAAUAGCCUUUGGAAACGAAGAGUAAUACCGUAUACGCCCUUUGGGGGAAAGAUUUAUCGGAGAAGGAUCGGCCCGCGUUAGAUUAGAUAGUUGGUGGGGUAACGGCCUACCAAGUCUACGAUCUAUAGCUGGUUUUAGAGGAUGAUCAGCAACACUGGGACUGAGACACGGCCCAGACUCCUACGGGAGGCAGCAGUGGGGAAUCUUAGACAAUGGGCGCAAGCCUGAUCUAGCCAUGCCGCGUGAGUGAUGAAGGCCUUAGGGUCGUAAAGCUCUUUCGCCUGUGAUGAUAAUGACAGUAGCAGGUAAAGAAACCCCGGCUAACUCCGUGCCAGCAGCCGCGGUAAUACGGAGGGGGUUAGCGUUGUUCGGAAUUACUGGGCGUAAAGCGCACGUAGGCGGAUUGGAAAGUUGGGGGUGAAAUCCCGGGGCUCAACCCCGGAACUGCCUCCAAAACUAUCAGUCUAGAGUUCGAGAGAGGUGAGUGGAAUUCCAAGUGUAGAGGUGAAAUUCGUAGAUAUUUGGAGGAACACCAGUGGCGAAGGCGGCUCACUGGCUCGAUACUGA
rnacentral:rRNA from 6 species